rnacentral:rRNA from 1 species
GAUGAACGCUGGCGGCGUGCCUAACACAUGCAAGUCGAACGGAGAUUCCGGACGGAAGUUUUCGGAUGGAAGACUGUAAUUCUUAGUGGCGGACGGGUGAGUAACGCGUGGGCAACCUGCCCUAUACAGGGGGAUAGCAGCUGGAAACGGCUGGUAAGACCGCAUAAGUCGGCGAGACCGCAUGGUUUUGCCGGGAAAUGAGCAAUCAGGUAUAGGAUGGGCCCGCGUCCGAUUAGCCAGUUGGCAGGGUAAAAGCCUACCAAAGCAACGAUCGGUAGCCGGACUGAGAGGUCGGACGGCCACAUUGGGACUGAGACACGGCCCAAACUCCUACGGGAGGCAGCAGUGGGGGAUAUUGCACAAUGGAGGAAGCUCUGAUGCAGCGACGCCGCGUGAGUGAAGAAGUAUUUCGGUAUGUAAAGCUCUAUCAGCAGGGAAGAUGAUGACGGUACCUGACUAAGAAGCCCCGGCUAACUACGUG